UAUAUCUAAUGUAUCAGUAAAAUAUAUGACAACAGUAUUAUAAAAGCUAGCAUUAGAGACAUGGAAGUAUACUAUUGUAAGAUAUAUCCUAUAAGUGUAAGUAUUCUAUAAGUGAUGUGGUAUAAUUCAAAUGAAGAUAGACUCUAAUAAAUUAAAGAUAUAUACUUAAAUCUGGUUGAGAGCAGCAAUAAUCCAGAAUGGCUACUCUGAUCUAUGUUGAUAAGGAAAAUGGAGAACCAGGUACCCUUGUGGCUGCAAAGGAUGGGCUGAAGCUGGGGUCUGGACCUUCAACCACAGCCUUAGAUGGGAGAUCUUAAGUUUCAACACCACGUUUCGGCAAAACAUUCAAUGUUCUACCAGCCUUACCUAAAGCUACCAGGAAGGCUUUGGGAACUGUCAACAGAGCUACAGAAAAGUCAGUAAAGACCAAUGGACCCCUCAAACAAAAACAGCCAAUCUUUUAUGCCAAAAAGAUGACUGAGAAGACUGUUAAAGCAAAAAGCUCUGUUCCUGCCUCAGAUGAUGCCUAUCCAGAAAUAGAAAAAUUAUUCCCCUUCAGUUCUCUAGGCUUUGAGAGUUUUGACCUGCCUGAAGAGCACCAGAUUCCACAUCUCCCCUUGAGUGGAGUGCCUCUCAUGAUCCUUGAUGAGGAGAGAGAGCUUGAAAAGCUGUUUCAGCUAGACCCCCCUUCACCUGUGAAGAUGCCCUCUCCACCAUGGGAAUCCAAUCUGUUGCAGUCUCCUUCAAGCAUUCUGUUGACUCUGGAUGUUGAAUUGCCACCUGUUUGUUCUGACAUAGAUAUUUUAAAUUUCUUAGUGCUUUAGAGUUUGUGGGUAUUUGUAUUAAUAAAGCAUUAUUUGUUUAACAGAAAAAAAAA